ACAGUUAUGUACAUGUCUGAAAAUAUGGCCGCUCCUGAAUAGCGGUGUAUGUCAGACGUGGAUAAAAUUCAGUAUUAAUCUUCAUAUUUAGAUAAAAUAAAGUGAAAAAUUUCGGAUAAGAGUGCCAAACAGAUUCAUUUCUCGAUAUGUCGGAGGAAAAUGUAAAAGUAGCGGUCAGAGUGCGACCAUUUAAUGGUCGUGAGAGAGAUCGCAAUGCCGUACUUAUCAUUGAGAUGUCAGGGGCUACAACCAAAAUAAUAGACCCAUCUGGUAGUAACGAGGAGAAAAAAUUCACAUUUGACUACAGUUACUGGUCGCAUGAUGGUUGCAAGGAUAACGGCACUGGAUAUUUCGCCCCGGACACUUCUAGCCCAAACGGAAAGAAAUUUGCUGAUCAGCAAAAAGUGUUUGACGAAUUGGGUGUUGGUGUACUAAAUAAUGCAUGGGAAGGCUAUAACUCUACAUUGUUUGCAUAUGGACAGACUGGGUCAGGAAAAAGUUGGUCCAUGGUCGGCUAUGAUGUCAACAAAGGAAUUGUGCCACUGUAUUGUGAACAGCUUUUCAAAGGCAUUGAAAAGAAAGUAGCCGAAGGAGCAAAAUCUCAGUAUGAGGUAACAUUCACGAUGUUGGAGAUUUACAAUGAAAAUUGUCGAGAUCUCCUAGACUCCAGUGGGUCAAAAUCAGCGCUCCGGGUGAGACAGCAUCCUAAAUCAGGAUUUUACGCUGAUGGCUUAAAUGAGACUGCGGUGGGCAGUUACCAGGAUAUUGAGCAGAAAAUGGCUGAAGGAACAAGGAACAGAACUGUCGCUUCUACAAAAAUGAACGCUACCAGCAGUCGUGCUCACACCAUUGUAUGUAUAAAGUUUGUCCAGAAAUCUGUCAACGAUGCAGGAGAAGAAAUGGCAAAAACAUCAGAGGUCAAUUUGGUCGAUCUUGCUGGAAGUGAGAGAGCUGACAGUACUGGUGCCACGGGAGACCGUCUCAAGGAGGGAGCAGCCAUUAACCAGUCAUUGUCAAGUCUGGGUAACUGUAUCGCUGCCCUCGCUGACCAGGCCAGUGGCAAAAAGACCAGAGUGCCUUACAGAAACUCUGUACUCACCAAGCUAUUGAAGAAUGCCCUUGGUGGAAACAGCAAAACAAUUAUGAUUGCUGCCCUGAGUCCUGCAGACAUCAACUAUGACGAAACACUAUCUACACUCAGAUAUGCUGAUCGUGCUAAGCAGAUUAAAUGUUCUGCCAAGGUGAAUGAGGAUCCAACAGCAGCCUUGAUCCGAGAACUUCAGGAGGAGAAUGAGAAACUUAAGGCAAUGUUGUCCUCCGGGAAAGUUGACAUGUCCAUCAUGGAAGGGGAAGAUACCGCUGAUAUGACUGAUGAAGAGAGGGCAGAAAUGAAGAAGGAACUUGAAGAUGAAUACAAGAGUAUGUUGGAGAAGAACAAGAAAGAUAUGGAGAAUAUGGAAGCUGAAUUCCAGAAACGUCUGGAAGAAGCAAAGGCCAAUAGUGACUACCAGUCUAUCGCCGAAAUAAAUGAGAGAAAGAAGACGGACCCCCAUCUGUACAAUUUGAACAUGGAUCCGAUGAUGACCGGCAGAAUUAUACAUUUCAUGAACGACGAUAAAGAAGUCAUCAUUGGUAACGGAAAGGCUGAAGGAACUGACCUUGUACUGAGAGGUGGCAGUAUCAUAGAUGUUCAUUGCAAAAUCAUGGAAAACAAUGGAGUGUACACUCUGGAGACGUUCCCAAAUGCAAAAACAUUACGCAACGGUAAAUCUGUUACAGCUGAGACUAAAACGUUGAAGCAUCAUGAUCGUCUUGUGUUCGGUACGACCCAGUUUUUCGUGUUCUGUAAUCCCAAAGACAAAUCAGGAUGUAAAGUAGAGAAUCCAGACUUUGAGAUGGCACAAGCAGAGAUUGCCACAAAAUCUGGAGGGUUUGACAUGUCAGGACAGAACAAAAGUAGAGAUGAGGCGAUCCUUCAGCAAGACUUACUUGAGAUCAUGCCGGGCGUAGAGGAGGCUAACAGCAUCUCUGAGGCUCUAGAGAAGAGGAAACGUUUUGAUCUCGUCAUUGUAUCCCCCGAGGCACGGGGAGAGUUGACUGGCAGGACUGAGGUAAUGGUGAAGAUGACUGAUAUAGACACCAAACAUGAAUGGAUGUGGAACAGGCAGAUAUUCCUUGAUCGUAAAUGUAUCAUGUCAGAAAUGUUUGACAAAUAUGAGGACGGACUUGAAUGGCAGCGUCCACAGGACAAAGAUCCAUUUUGGGAAGAUCCCAAGGCCGAUUUCCACAUUGGAAGUGUCAAAAUGUGGCUCCAGUCUAUCUCUUACAUGAUUGAAUCCAGUGAGACACUGGACAUUACUGACUUCAAAGGAUCUCCUGUCGGUAAAAUGUCUAUUGGAGUAUUCCCAUGUGACCCUAAAGGAAAAGAAUUCACCGACAAGGAUGACAAGUUUGUUGAGGACCCAGAUACUCUGGUUGGCAAGAAUAUUGACUUCAAGGUGAAGAUUACCAAUGCAAGAGGGUUACCCAACAAAUAUACUGAUGUUUACUGUAAGUACAAAGUGUAUCUGGAGGAUAAAUACACACAGACAAAAGCUGUAAAGGACACAACUAACCCUGACUACAAUCAUGAGAGAGUUAUCUCCCUGCCAGGAACUCAGGAGACUGUGGACUUUUUGAAGACUGGGGCAUUUAUUGUACAAAUCUGGGGUAAACAAAAGGAUCAUAAACCGAAGGGUGGGGCCAAGGUCAAGGCUGGUGGUACUGGAGGAGCUGGCGUCCAUGCCGUCAACACUAACCAGCAGAGAUUCGAUCCAGAAAAAGUGAAAUAUAUGAUGGAAGUUGGUGCAUUGAAAAAGAGGCAAGAAAAAAUGGAGCUAAAACUUGUUCACAUGAGGAGAAUGAUAGAAGUUGCUGAAGAGCAUCAUAAACGUAAAGUAUCAACAAAACUGAUCAAGGAUAUCUACCACGCCCCUACCAAUGACCAAGCUGAGAAAUGCAUUGCUCUCAUACCCUUGGAGAAAGAUUCGGAUGACGAGGAUGGUGGUGGAGAUGGAGGCGGAGACGGAGGUAAACCUAUUGCUCUCGUUCCUCCACAUAGUAAACAAGACACAAAAGGACCUGGUGGCAAUGACAGUCAAAAAGAUAAAAAAGGUGGUGGCGGCGGUGGUGGUGGUGGCGAAAGUGUUACUAUAAUUCUAGCAGGAGGAAAUAACGGAACAGACAAAGAUGGAAAAUCUGGCGGCAAGGGUCAUGGUGGCGAUGGCGGUGGUGGCCGUGGCGGUGGUGGUGGCGAUACUACAGUUUUAGUUGGAGGAGACAAAAAAGACAAAGACGGGAAAUCUGGCAGUAAGGGUCAUCAUGGCGGCAAGGGUCAUGGCGGCAGCAAGGGAAAACACAAGAGAUCAGGGUCAAAGUCGUCAAGGUUGUCACAUAGCUCCUCUUCAAGCUCAUCAUCCGACUCCUCAGAUGAUGAGAAGAAGAGUAAAGCGAAAGCUAAAGCCAAACCAAACAAGCGUGCAAGCUCUGCGAAGAAGUCAAGUGCUUGUGUCCUUCUAUAAGUUAAAAACCCAGAUGAGCUUAUCCCCUUUGUUUUGUCUUCCCCUAGAAAUAUAAUUUCCGGCAAAAAAAAAAAAAGUAUAGCAAGGUUUUUUUCUGAUGUUUUUUGUUUUUUUUAAGGUACAAAACAUUUAUAAUUAGCCUGUGAAACAUAUAAGAAUUUAUAUCGCAUUACAUCGCUACUCAGAGGUGAAUACCCUCGUCCCUCGCCAACCUCCAGAGGUUUAAAUAGCUACCCUACACAGACACUGCUGCAAAUGAAGACUUUAUUUUUAUACGCCACUCAGUAAUUAACAGGUUCUUGUUUAUGUCUUGUUGACUAUGUUGUUCAUUUUGUGUACAUAUUAUUUCUUUUGACAAUAUACUCUGUACAUCAAAGGUUUGCAGUGCCCUUAAAAUGAAUUUGAUUGUUCAAUACUGAAUAAUUCUGUACGUUAAAUUUGAAAAACAAUAAUUUUGUUGUAUAUGUAAACAUUGUAUAUUUUGUUUUGUACAAUGAUUUUUUACCAUUAGCUGUUUUAGUAUAGUUGAUUUUUCUGCAGUUGUUUUGUCUGUUAACUUAUUUGCUCUUGGAAGUAUUCCGUCCAGUGAAAGUAUGUGUCAGUCUUUUGUUCCUAUACAAGGUCUUGAUUGUUACAUUGUUACAUAAUAUUAUCUUGUGUAUUAAAUGUGUCAUAAAUUAUCUAUGUGUGUGCACAACAUUAUGUAUUAUGUAUCAUUUCAUUAGAUUUCAGGAAUCAAUUAUUGUGAACUUACUGGUCAAAUCCACCUUUUAUAGUCCAAUAAUUGUAAUUAAGUAUUACGUUGUGUUUUAAGAAAGGAUCAUCGGUUUCAUUUAUUUUUGUUGGCUAGUGUGACAGUUGCUCAUAAGAAGUACUUGUAUUUUUUUCUCAGUACUUCUUUUAACUAAUAUUAUGAGUUAUAUCUCAUAAGUUUAUUUAUCAUUUCGACAAAUCAGCUCGCUAGUCUACAAAAAUAUUCAACAUUUUGACUUUCAUUCAUACUAGUAAUAUAAUAUCUUCAGAAUAAAUGUAAUAUAAUAUCUUCAGAAUAAAUGUCCUAUCAUUAUGUAAUCUCAGUUUAGCUAGAUUUUUUUAAAGCUCAAGUUUUUUACAGCAUAUAAUUAUGAUCCUUAUGUUGUAUAUAUAUAUACACAGCAUACAUGAUACUUGUGUAAUAUGUAUACAUGGCAUACAUGGUCUUUGUGUUAUAUGUCCACAACAUGCAUGGUCCACGAGUUAUAUGUACAUCACAUGCAUGAUCCUUGUGCAUAUGUACACAGCAUACAUGAUCCUUGUGUUGUAUAUAUAAUCUUCGUGUUAUGUGUACACAGCAUAAAUGACCCUUUUGUUAAUAUGUACUCAGAACUUCUGCAAUACACCUAUGAUCUUCACAGAUUUAUACACGUGUGUGUACUCAAAAUGGUAAUAUACACGUUGCAGUAUUGGAACUAUUUUAUAUGAAAUGAUAUAUAUAUACAAGCAUAAUACUACAUGUGCACUUAUAGAUGUUUAGUAUUGACUAUUUGUCAAACAUUAACUGCUGUGUUAUUUUGGAAAGACGGGAACUAUUUGUUUCACAGUAUUCAGUGUCAUCUACGAAAUGAUACAUGUACCUCAAAAUAGUUGGCGCGGAGGUGACAGAUUGUUAAGAAAUGAUGUUAGAAAGUGAUUUACACUUCACCUUCAGGUAGUUAGUGAUCAGAUUGUCUACUUAAUGUAGUCAUGACACUAAUUCUAGCUAACAGUCACAGGACUUACUGAAUAAGUAAAAGUACUUUAGUAGUAAUUAAAUGACUAAAUGAAGUAGUCACAUGAUUAUCUGAGGUAAUCACGUGACUAAAUGAAGAAGUCACAUGAUUGUCUGAGGUAAUCAUGUGACUAAAUGAAGUAGUCACAUGAUUAGCUGAUCAUGAAGUGAUUACCGGUACCUGCAUGACCAGUUGCUGGAUUCAGGAUGGUUUGCAUACAAGGCAAGAUUUCAUAAGUGUUGAAAAUACAUUAUAUGAAUAGAUUUGACAGGAAUUGAUUUAAGAAUUUUUUUUUAUGUUGAAAAUUAAAUACCUUUGUAAACAUGAAAACUUUCAUAACCACAAAUAAUUGAAGCUUAAUAUAUGUAUCAGGUCAUAUUAUAUGUAACUGGUGGAUUCCAGCCUCUAAAAGCAAAGUCUGUGAUACUAGUAAUGUGUAAACUUCUCUAGAUUAAAUUGCAUUCUAAUUGGAUUAAUCAAAUCUUUUAAAUAAUUAGUAUAAACCUGUAGCAGGAAUCGAUAUAUCCGAGUAGUGUAAGUGAUUCAAAAUUAAUUUAUUAUUUUAUUAACUUAUUUAUGUUGCUUGGAAGCAAAUACUGUGAUAUUUAGAAAAAAAUAAUAUAUUAUAAUAAAAUAUUUACCCUUAUAGUGCUAGUAAAAUAAUUUAGCUCUAAUUUAAGUUGAAACUUAGGUAUUGAAAAUUGCUAAUUUUGAGUUAGCAUUUUCAAGCUCAUGAGCGGAUUCUGUGAUAAAACUUAAUAUAUCAGUUUCUUUUGUUGAAGCACUUGUUAAGACUUUUACUUGUACCCCAUAGAGUUUUCUCUUGUAGUUGUAACUCAGUUAUAGUCUGUUUUGAAAACUGUUAUCCUUAGCUAGGUUGAAUCAGUUAUAGUCUGUUUUGAAAACUGUUAAUCUUUGCUACAGGUUGACGUUUUCAAGCUCUUGAGCCGAAUCUGUGAUAUUAAGGUUCUGUGAUAUGUUGUGGCGGGUAGUUUUCUAAAUUUCUAUCAUUUUACACUUGAUUGUUGAACAUGCUUUAGAUAUGGGGGAGUUCCCCGCAGCAGGCAGACGUACAAGAAAUUUAUGCAAUUUGGCAGAACUCUAGAAAACUCCACUGCUUCAACGUCAUGUUGUGUAUAUGUUCUGGCAUUCAUGUGCUCAUAGUUGUAGGAAGUGCUUGGGGGCAUUAUGGAGAAAAAAUGGAAUUGUUGUAGGAAGUGGUUGUCAAAUUGGGAAAUAUUUUGGGUGGGUGGGGGAAUUCUUGACUAAUGGGGUAAAAAGUCUUAAGUGGGAAUAGUAUAGAGGAUAGGAUUGUUUGAAUGAUUGUUUGAAUGAGAUGAAAGGUGACAUUUUUCUCUUUUUUUUUUUCAUUCUUUUGCUUUUUGUUUCUUCAUUUCCAUCCCAGAUCCUUUUAAGUGUUUGUAAAUAUUUUAUGUUAGUAAGUCAUUUAUUUGAUUUCCCAGAUUUCUCACCCAUUUAAAUACGAACAUUUUUUGUUGUAAACGUUCAAGUUUUAUUUCAUAAAAAUGCAUGACUUUGUAAAUAGUGUGCUUUGUUUAACACAGAAGUAGGUUGCAGUGAGUUUUCGUUAACUUUAAACACAGUAUAGUGCUAUUUUACAUAAUAAGUUGCUACUAUUUUAUCCAUUAUAAGUUCUAAAAUGUAACUUUUACCUAAAUGAAUUGAAUGUCAUUUUGCAAUGUUUUGGAUAUGUUGAACUUCAGGUCUUGAAGGCAUGAAGGAAGAAAAAUAAAAAAUUGUCUUGCAAGAAUUAUAUAAAUACAUUGUAGGAUUAAAAUCAUAUAAAAAUUGUUAGACUUUUUUUUUUUUUAAAUAAUUUAGAUUUAAUUUAAUUACAGUAAAGUUGUUUUCAGUUUGAUUAUGAAGCAAGUAUGAAUUCAGUAAUGAAAAUUGGGCAUAUUUUCAAUAAUUGUCUAAAAUAAAAUGUUUUAAAAACCCAUAUGGUUAAAAUAGUGUGACAAGUAAAAUUAUUUUGUAGUGGAAUUAUAACUAUUGUAGAGGACUGUCCUUAAUUUUCAACCUUUUUUUUGUAAAUUACCUUUUCAAACAAAUUCUCUUUUUCGAUAUUUUAUGAGCAAGGGAUAGUAGUAAAGUAAAAUUAUUUGAGAUCAAAAUCAGAAGAGAAAUCAGGAAGUCAGAAUUGCAUCACAUAUGAAUUUCUUGGCAAAUUUUAUUCUUUGACUUUCAGUAGUUAUUUAAAAUGAUUAGAAAAAUAAUUUCUUUGGAAAUUUGCGUUUUUGAACAUACUUUUAAACAUACAUAAGGUUGUAAAUUAAGGUCGCUAGACUUGGUUAGGGAGCCGUUUGGAACACUGCCAAAAUUUAAAUUUUGAAAAUUACCCAGAAUUCUCUGGGUAUAAAGCUUAUCAAAGCAAACCUGUGAUACUUGUAUAUAAAUUGAUUGAUUAUCAUUCCAUCAAAGAGAUGUUGAAAUGACUUACUGCAUGCACAUCUGUUAAGUAUAUUAUUACUUUAAUGCCAAGUCCAAAUGCAAGGCAUUUCUUUGAAAUCCAAGGCAAUUUUACACAUCUGUUUGAUUUUUAGUUGGUUAAUUACUCGAUUAUAACUAAGAACUGGUUUGGUUUGAACAGGGUCUGGGUGACAGACUGAAAUUUGAGUAACAAAAUGUAAAAUUAUGUUUUUAGAAGAAAAUUUUUAAAAAAAGAAUAUCAUUUGAACAUUUUGUAUGAUAUAAAAAGAAGAAGAAUUUAUAAGCCAUUCAAAUAUUGAAAAAAAAAACUGUCGAAUUUUGUACUUUCAGUGUAAAAUGCAGUAUAUAUUUGUCAUUCACAUCUCUAAAUUCCAUGGACAUUUUUGUUUCGCCCAAUUUUCAUUUCAUAUCAUUUCCAUAGAGACAAAAAAAAAAGGAAAAAAAUAGGGUAAAAAAAUGAUAUUUUUACCCCACCCACUGUGCAAUAACUGUAGCCACUUAUUAAAGAUAAGCACUUAUUAGUAUGUUUAUUACUGUAUGAAAGUUUUCAUUUCUGUUGAAUAAAUAAGUUAUGUAAUAGAAACAGUAGCUCAGGAUAUAUUAGAAAAAAGAUUUAAAGUGAAUACAAAUCGAAUACAGUAACAAAGACUAAUGUGAUACUCUUGAGUAUAUAUAAUAACAGAACAUUGUAUUCUUGUAUGCAAACCAUCCUGGAGGGAAGUCAUCAUGUUGACUGGUUAAACAAAAGCAACUUCCUAAUUUGAUAAAAAAAUAAACAAAUCUUGUAUUUCAGCAAUAAAAGUAAUGUUCAAUGAUUAAAAAAAAAUAGUAUCCCUUGUAAAGGUUAUGGUUUUACGAAUAUAUACAACAAAAUCCUCAGUUCAAUGGAGUCCUGUCUCUUGUAUUUAUAAUACAAGGAUUUAUCAGUAUAUGAAACAACACAAUCCUCAUUCCUAUCCCUUGUAUAUAUAAUAUGAGACGUUAUGAAUAUAUUAUUCAGCAAUAUUACAUUGUGUAAGUACUGUGAAUUGAAUAGGAACGUUAUUCCAGAGUAACACAUGUCGGGUUGUACAUCACUCAUAUUUAUUUAGCUGCUUUGAAGCGUACUGUUAUAUCAGACCUAUAAUGUAUAUUGGUAUUAAAUUAUAGGAUAAUACUACUGUCUGUUCAUUAAGGCAGAGAUGUUCAGGAUUGUGCCUACAUAAUAACAUUAUUGUUAAAAAAUUUGACUACAGUUAGUCAACAUUUGAAAAACGCACUCAUGCUGUUAUGUCAAUACCAUAGUAUAUGUUAUGGGUCUGAUAACUACAUGUAUAAAUUAUAUAUACACACAGUCAUUGCAGGCAAUGAUGGAUGAUAUUUUACUGUAUAAAUUUGAGACAUGACAAUGAAACUUUACAUCUGCUACUUUAUUACACUUACAUAUCAGUACUUGUGUAUUUAUAUCUUGCAUGGAAUUCUCAUGGUUAUCUUUAAGGUAUUUUACAUCUGAAUAGUCUGGGCUACAAAAUUUGUAAAGAAUAUGACCUGGAGGCAUCCAAAAUUGUGUCACAGUCUAAGAUUAUAACUCUGUUUCUAUUUUUAGCAGUUUAAAACUUGUUUCUAUUUUUAGCAGUUUUAAACUGUUUAUAGAUAGGUGAUGUUGUUUUAUCUUGAGUAUGUUUCUAAUCAGCAGAACACAUUCCGUCCAUUUUCAUUAUGUAUAUACCUUUUCAAUUUUACUAAAAAUAUAUAUUUUUACUGUUUAACCGUCCACUGUUUGAUUAUGUUAAAUUUCUUUUGAAUUUUUUAUGAUUCUCAAUAUGUAUCUCCUUUCCGUACAUUCAUAGCAUUAUAAUGCCUGACUAAUGUUGAAGUGGUCAAAAUGCACAAGGGGUCUGGGAUAUUUGCCUGACUUUUUAAGCAAAUUUAUCACAGCUCAACACUUACAGACCUGGCUGAGUUGAAAAUGCAUCUUUCAUGUUUUGUUCUUCUCCUGUCUAAGAGAAACCUUUGCAGUUAGAACUGUUUUGGCUAUACAACUUAUUUUCAGCCAGGUCUAUUAAGUGAGACUGCUUAUAAAUUAUAAGUUAAUUAUUGCACAUUCCUAUCUCCAUAGUUUUCCUGUAAAUGAGGUUGUGAAAGCUAACGACCACGUUAAUUUCAACUGUGGUUAAUAAAUAUAUUCUGGGACUACAGCCAUUUUUACAGGAAAAAAUAUGGAAAUGUUUGUCUAUUUAAUGUAUUUACUGGCAUCUGAGAUACUCACUUCCAAUUAAUUUAUGUGGAGUUUUUGUUGUAGAUAGAUUUAAGCGGAUAAUUGGUUUGAUAGUGGAGUCGAGGUGCUGGAUCUAGAGAAGGACCAGGACCGAAUUCAUCAACAUUCUUAGUCUAAAUCUUUGAAAUGCUUAAAACUAUUUUGUCUUAAAUUUGUAAAUCUAGUACAGACUUUAAUGAAACUUGGCUUGAAAAUGAUAUAUAUUACAACAAAAAGCUGUGUGAAGUUUCAGCAGUAUAAAUUUAUUACAAAGGAAGUUAUGACAGUUUGAAUUUUCAGAGACUUCAGGCUUCGAAUUUUGAUGAAUUCCAGCCCUCAUAGAACUUAAUUGGUAAUGUACCGGUGGCAAAAUCUUAACUGGUGUUAGUAUUAUACACGAAGGCUUGAAGGAAAAGGUGUUGUUGAAAAGAUGUAUUAUUAUCUGGGAGUUUUUUUUUUUUCAUUUUUGGAUCAUUACUUUAAAAAAUAAGAUUGGUUGAAGUUUGUAGGCAUUUUUAUUUUAUAUCACUGCAUGCAAUUUGCACUUUAUUUGGUGUAAAAAAAGUACAAAGAACAUUUUUAUUUUUGUAAUAUAUGUUAAUUCAUUUCUAGUAAAGGCAAUUUCAGUAUUAUAUCAAUGUACACACUGAUUAAUUACCAUGGUUUUAGUUUCCAUAGUUUCAGUUUCCAUGGUUUCAGUGAACAUGAUCUCUAUAUGCGAAAUCCAUAAAAUUAAAGCAUUAUGGGUAAAUUGACCGUUGUAGAACAAAGAAAGUGUGAAAAAAGCUCAAAAAUCUGUAACAGUAAUAUGGAAUAAACCUUUCUUUUGUAAUAAA
rnacentral:misc_RNA from 1 species